UUCAUCAAAGUCCAUUUACAGAUCACUUAUAGCCCAACAAUCCUAGCCCAAAUAUUUAACCCAAUUGAAACCCGACCCAGGGGGUCCAAUUUUCGGUUUCAGGAGUUGAAACCCCAAAUCCUAGUGCAACAGUAUAUUGGGGAACGGAUGCAAAUCAAUAAAAUCAAAAAACAAAAGAACAGUAUUUGUUAAAGGUGAUUUUCCAUUUUUUCCUUUUUCGUUUUUGAUUUUAUAUUCAUUUUUUUCUUUUGCUUUGAUACGGAAAAAUGGG
rnacentral:lncRNA from 1 species